UGGUAAGGGUGUAGUUUGGUAGUGUAAUAUGUUUGGAUCGUAUAGGUCGAAGGUUUAAAUCCUUCUUUACCGA
rnacentral:tRNA from 1 species